CGAACCCUGAUCCAGCCAUGCCGCGUGAGUGAAGAAGGCCUUCGGGUGUAAGCUCGUUCGGCGGGAAGAAAUCGUAUCAGCUAAUACCUGGUGCGGAUGACGGUACCGGCAUAAGAAGCACCGGCUAACUACGUGCCAGCAGCCGCGGUAAUACGUAGGGUGCGAGCGUUAAUCGGAAUUACUGGGCGUAAAGCGUGCGCAGGCGGUUUUUGUAAGACAGGCGUGAAAUCCCCGGGGCUCAACCUGGGAACUGCGUUUGUGACUGCAAGGCUAGAGUACGGCAGAGGGGGGUGGAAUUCCACGUGUAGCAGUGAAAUGCGUAGAGAUGUGGAGGAACACCAAUGGCGAAGGCAGCCCCCUGGGUCGAUACUGACGCUCAUGCACGAAAGCGUGGGUAGCAAACAGGAUUAGAUACCCUGGUAGUCCACGCCCUAAACGAUGUCAACUAGGUGUUGGGUGGGUAAAACCAUUUAGUACCGGAGCUAACGCGUGAAGUUGACCGCCUGGGGAGUACGGCCGCAAGGUUAAAACUCAAAGGAAUUGACGGGGAC
rnacentral:rRNA from 1 species